GCGCCCAUGUCCAAAUGGUUAUGGAGCUUGGCUCUCACGCAAAGGGCCGAGGUUCGAUGCCUGUCCGCGGGUGCA
rnacentral:tRNA from 1 species